CAGUCGCCGCGGUAAGACAGAGGAUGCAAGCGUUAUCAGGAAUGAUUGGGCGUAAAGCGUCUGUAGGUGGCUUUUCAAGUCCGUCGUCAAAUCCCAGGGCUCAACCCUGGACAGGCGGUGGAAACUACCAAGUUGGAGUACGGUAGGGGCAGAGGGAAUUUCCGGUGGAGCGGUGAAAUGCGUUGAGAUCGGAAAGAGCACCAACGGCGAAAGCACUCUGCUGGGCCGACGUUGACACUGAGAGACGAACGCUAGGGGAGAAAACGGGAUUAGAUACCCCUGUAGUCCCUGUCUCUUAUAU
rnacentral:rRNA from 1 species